rnacentral:misc_RNA from 1 species
GAUGAAGAACGUAGCGAAAUGCGAUAAGUAAUGUGAAUUGCAGAAUUCAGUGAAUCAUCGAAUCUUUGAACGCACCUUGCGCCCUUUGGCCAUUCCGAAGGGCAUGCCUGUUUGAGUAUCAUGAACACCUCAACUCUUCAUGGUUUUCCGUGAUGAGCUUGGACUUUGGGGGUCUUGCUGGCCUAUGGUCAGCUCCUCUAAAAUAAAUCAGCUUGCCAGUGUUUGGUGGGUAUCACAGGUGUGAUAACUAUCUACGAUUGUGGUUUUCCACCAGGUAACCUUCAGCAGUGGAGGUUCGCUGGAGCUCACAGAUGUGUCUCUCCUCAGUGAGGACAGCUCUUUGAAUGUUUGAUCUCAAAUCAGGUAGGACUACCCGCUGAACUUAAGCAUAUCAAUAAGCGGAGGA